rnacentral:lncRNA from 1 species
UUGGUCUCUUGAGGAGAGUUGUCUCAUUGUCAAUCAUACCACAUCUUCUCAUUUUUAUAUUGACUACUGUGAUCUAUCUUGCUUUUUCAUUUGUACUUAAAAAAAACCUUUAGGACUUCUAACAGGGGGUAAAAAUCACUAUCAUUUUAUAUUUUUGUUGUAGUGACCACGACAGAGACAUUUCUACACAAUAAAAACCAAUUAUACCAAGCAUGUUUCAUAAGAUAGACCAUCUAACAUCAUAGUACUAUCUUACUACACAAUAAAAACCAAUUAUACCAAGCAUGUUUCAAUAGAUAGACCAUCUAAAAUCAUAGUACUAUCUUACUACACCAUAAAAACCAAUUAUACCAAGCAUGUUUCAAUAGAUAGACAAUCUAACAGCACAGUACUAUCUUACUACACAAUAAAAACCAAUUAUACCAAGCAUGUUUCAUUAGAUAAACAAUCUAACAUCAUAGUACUAUCUUACUACACAAUAAAAACCAAUUAUACCAAGCAUGUUUCAUUAGAUAGACAAUCUAACAUCAUAGUACUAUCUUUACUACACAAUAAAAACCAAUUAUACCAAGCAUGUUUCAAUAGAUAGACCAUCUAACAUCAUAGUACUAUCUUACUACACAAUAAAAACCAAUUAUACCAAGCAUGUUUCAAUAGAUAGACAAUCUAACA